UACGUAGGGUGCAAGCGUUGUCCGGAAUUAUUGGGCGUAAAGAGCUCGUAGGCGGUUUGUCGCGUCGAAUGUGAAAACCCGGGGCUCAACCCCGGGCCUGCAUUCGAUACGGGCAGACUAGAGUUCGGUAGGGGAGUCUGGAAUUCCCGGUGUAGCGGUGAAAUGCGCAGAUAUCGGGAAGAACACCCGUGGCGAAGGCGGCACGCUGGGACGGUACUGACGCUGAGACGCGAAAGCGUGGGGAGCGAACAGG
rnacentral:rRNA from 1 species